rnacentral:lncRNA from 1 species
AGGGUGGUCCCAAGAAGAAAAAUUGAAUAUUGUCACGCCUAGGCCACCACAUGCAGAGAGGUUAGUGAGGUUUUCUAAAUUUCCCAAGAGCUGCCUUCUGUAUAACUUUAGCGGGAAGACCCUUCCAUUGAUGACACCUCUCUCUCCCUCCCUCCCUCUGGUUUGCUAUAAAGUAAGCAUCAACUAUGUACCAAAAAGAGCCUGAAACGCAAGUAGUAUACAGGGGACCAGUUUGCAUGGCUUCAUAGCUGUUCCAUAAGGUUGACACAUAAAGCAAAAGAAAGGAAAAAACACCUUAGCCUAUCAAAACCCAUCUUUUCUCUUGAUGGAGGAGUGCAUAAUUUACUUGGAAGAUUGCUUUUUCUACGUGGCCCUUUCGUUCGUUCAUCAAUGAUGGUAACCUGUUUAUUCCUCACAAUUCCUUAAUUAUGUAUCUGCAUAUGUGCCUACUUGCUAGAUCGAUCUGCUUUUUCAUUGGUGCCAGUCACACACUGGAAGCAAUUAUUUUGAAGAACUUGUAUACCACUUGGGAGGUAACACAUGGAACAUUAGCCUGUAAAGUGAUGCCUUCGACUUUGGAAAUUAGAAAAGAGAUCGAUUGCUUACGCUUUGAUGAGAGUUGGUUGUGAUUUGGACUCGCUGCUGCUCCUUUUCAUCCUUUAAUUUAUUCUCUUAAUCAAGUUGUUUAGGAGGUUCAAGACAUCGGAUUGUAUGGUGGGGAAUUUGCCUUACACUAAUAAUUGUAUAUAUAUGCUCCCAUUAACCGAUCACCGGCGGCUCUAAGUCAUAAACCCUAAUCAGCUGUAGCUGAUUACGCAUGCAUGAUACCUUUAAUUUUAUAUAUCCAUGCCUUUACUUUCUUCUUUAUGGAG